AGUAGUAGUAGUAGUAGCAGUAGUAGUAACAAUAAUAAUAAUACUAAUACUAAUACUAAUAAUAAUAUUCUACACCAUAAUUUGUUACUUUUCUCUCUCUCUCUCUCUCUCUCUCUCUCUCUCUCUCUCUCUCUCUCUCUCUCUCUCUCUCUCUCUCUCUCUCUCUCUCUGGAAAUCAGGGAAAGGCUUACCAACAUGGCGGACAAGUGGCGUCAGUACUCACCCCUGCUUCUCAUCCUCGACUUGAAAUCUAUGCCACUGGCCAAAUCGUCGACUAUUUUCAAAGUCUUCUGCAUCCACUCUCAGUAUGUGAGGCUCCCUGGAGGUUCGUUGGCAUUGUGCGUUUUGAUCUUCACUCGUGCCAUCCUUGUUACAUGUCAAUACAAUAAUAUAACCUACAAGGGGCCGAGGCCCGACACACAACACAACUAAAGGACAGAAAAUGGAAGGAGCCUACCUAUGUACCUCAGUUCAGCAGUCCAGCAGCCUCUAAAAGCCCACGCAACUGCCCUGCAUGAGGUACGACCUGACCCUAUCCAACGUUUUUGCUGGAACCUUCCUCACUGGCUUAAUUAAGGCAGCUGCCCUUCUAAGGGCCCCCCUUGAGGCACUGCCCGCGGGGUUCACCUUCACCAGUGAGGAGGACACUAAGGGCGAAAAGAGAAAUACAGUGGAGAGAAAAGAUGCCUGGGCGGGACUCAACAACACCACCACCACCACCACGGAGUCCCCGGUACACAGGGCUUGGGAGGGUUCCCAGGUGGAAUUCUCCCUGUUGUGCAGGACAAGCACAGACGUCACUGGCAGGAUGUAGGUAGCUGGCAGUGUGGCGGGGCACAGCGGUGUUUCCACUCGCCCUCAGACCUUCACGUGGCACUCCCUAUAUAAGGCACACCAUUCUGUCUAAUCUUUUAAAGCUCCCUAGUGACUCAGCACCCACAGCCACAUUACGGAGUCCACCUGUUCAUCCACCACUCUAUCUGAGAACCACUUCCCUCCUGUCUAUUUCUCAAACGUAUUUUUUAUUCAAGUUUGCAUCGUUACCUGCCGCAGCCUUACCCUGAUUAGUGAGCCUGGACAUUUUACCUUUGUUACCCUUGAAAUAUUGAGGAUGUAUCUUGCGUUUUCUAUGGUUGCGUUAAAAAGAAAAUGUGUAUUAUUAC